rnacentral:misc_RNA from 1 species
GAUUAAGAACGCAGCAAAAUGCGAUAAGUAAUGUGAAUUGCAGAAUUCAGUGAAUCAUCGAAUCUUUGAACGCACAUUGCGCCCGCUGGUAUUCCGGCGGGCAUGCCUGUUCGAGCGUCAUUUCAACCCUCAAGCCCCCCGGGUUUGGUGUUGGGGAUCGGCUCUGCCUCACGGCGGUGCCGCCCCCGAAAUACAUUGGCGGUCUCGCUGCAGCCUCCAUUGCGUAGUAGCUAACACCUCGCAACUGGAACGCGGCGCGGCCAUGCCGUAAAACCCCAACUUCUGAAUGUUGACCUCGGAUCAGGUAGGAAUACCCGCUGAACUUAAGCAUAUCAAUAAGCGGAGGA